UACAGAGGGUGCGAGCGUUAAUCGGAAUUACUGGGCGUAAAGCGUGCGUAGAUGGUUAUGUAAGUCGGAUGUGAAAGCCCCGGGCUCAACCUGGGAAUUGCAUUCGAGACUGCAUAGCUAGGAUGCGGAAGAGGGAAGCGGAAUUUCCGGUGUAGCGGUGAAAUGCGUAGAUAUCGGAAGGAACACCAGUGGCGAAAGCGGCUUCCUGGUCCAGCAUCGACGUCAGGCACGAAAAGCGUGGGGAGCAAACAGG
rnacentral:rRNA from 1 species